GUUUUAAUAGUUUAUAUAAAACAAUGAUUUUGUAAAUCAUAAAUAGGAUUUAUCCUUUAAAACU
rnacentral:tRNA from 1 species